UCCAGUGUUCUCAAUUAACACAGGAAAGAUUUAUGACUUUUCCCCCCCUUUGGUGGUCUCUGUUGAGAAGGAAAAAACAUGAACUGCCAUUUGAUUUUCCACUCAAUUGCAUCUACCAACUGGCAGACAGACCAACUGAGAGAGUCCGUCCGUUCAGUAGCUGGAUUCGCCAUGGGUGUGCCCCAGGAGUGUUAGCAAGGCUAUUUCUCCGGAUCAGAAUAGUCCACAGACAGCAACUCUCUGAGGGAAGGCUCCACAACUGAACUAGUAAGACGUGCCUCUGCUUAAAAUAAUCAUAAGGAAUUUCUCCCUUCUCUUCUAUGGGUCUUAACCUUCUAAUUAGCCACCUCUUUAUCCUCUGAGAAUAUCUCAAGUCCAUGUCUGAUAAGCCACUUCUCAGCAGGGAGAGAACUGCAUCUUAAAAUGGAUUUGAUACUUCUUAGUAAACUGACAAAUCAGCCGAGGGGUGAGUCAAAUGAAAAUUUUAGGACUAUCGCCCUGCAAAAAAGGUGAUGAUUGCUAUAGGUUGGGAGAGUUAUAAUCUGUCAGAAUCUUCUGUUGCAAGGAACAGCUUAGCCACACAGCAGUGCUCCAUGGCGGCUGCCGUCAAGAAUCUAAACACGGCUUGGAAUUCUCUGAGGAUGUUAUUCAUAAAGGCACAGUUAAUCAAACUCAGACCUCUCUUCAGAAUCUCACUGUACAAGCCAAACUUAUUGCCAAUAGAAGGAAGGUGCCAGACCAGAGAAGGGAGAUCUCUACAUAUGAAAGGUGAAGUAACUUGAUUUCAGUUGUUUUGGAACUAACUUGGAGUGGUGAGAAACUACAGCAUUGUCGUGUUCUCACUAUCAGAGGGAAGAGAAAGUGGUAACUCUCAAGACACAGGACAAAAGAGGAACUAUAAAGAGCAUCUCAGAUAAGCAUUUCAGGAAGCAAAGCAUCAAUUUCAAAGUGUCUACAUAGAGACAAGAACCAAAUGUGGAGUGAAGAGUUCAGACAAUAUGGAGUAAACAGGCAGGAGAGAGAAAAUGGGAGGUUUAUCCAAUUAUCCACACAAGAGGAGGGAGCCCUUUAUAACUUGCCUGUGGCUGAACAUGUCAGUAUCAAGGAAGCCCAGCCAACCGAUGUCCUCAAAAGGCUCUCUCCUACCAAAAAAGAGACUUCUCUGGUUCACCUGGGAAAGUCAUGAAUAACUCCCUGAA
rnacentral:lncRNA from 1 species